rnacentral:lncRNA from 1 species
CAAACAUGAAAAUGGUUUCAUAAAGAUUGAUAAUAUCAAGACCUGAUUCAGAAUGUAAUUUACAUUCUUAAGUAACAUGGUUUCGCUAUUGAUUAACAUUUGUUUACAAGUUUCGUAAGAGUAUGAUAUGGGAAGAAAAGUGAAGUAGAAUAGAACUAUCUUAUGACAGAAUAACGCUAACUUUUUUUUAGCAUUUCCUAGGUUUUGCUCUGUGCUAAGUACAUUUGGUGUACAUACCUUGUAUCAUUUCAUCGACCAACAGCAAAUAUCUAAGGCAAAAUCUAUUACUAUCUCCAUUUCACAGAUGAGGAGUAUGAGGCAGAGAGGGUGUAAUUUAUCCUGAGUAUACAGCCGGAAAGCUGAAUCUGAACACAAACAGUACUCCACAGAACUCUUGCUUUGGAACUCAAGCUACCAAAAGAUAAGAGUCACAAGAAAGAAUGCAAUCAAUGAGAAAACACUCCAGUGAAGGUAGAUGACAAGCAGCUGUUGCCUGAUGCCCAGAAAUGCACAGAUGAGGCCCAGCUUUGUUUUGCAUGAUCUUGGCUGAUGACACAAAAAGAAAACCAAGUGCAGAGUUGGUGCCUAGUGAGAAAUGGAUGGAAGGUGAUUCUGUAGAAAUUGCAAGUGCAAGCAAGUAAGAGAGUGUAUUCUCUUAAGUCUUCAUUAUUCACCACCCCCCCAUUGUAAGUAGAAAAAUGAGUUUUGCAUUUACGUGUGUGUGUGUGUGUGUGUGUGUGUGUGUG